CUGUAUUCAAUAAUCCAACUGAUUGUGAUAAGUUGCGGUGGGGUUGUCAAACGAAGUGGAUCAGAUGGACAAGAACAAGGGCCGUACCGAUAUGCUUGCUGCUGGACGUAAGAAGCUUCAACAAUUUCGACAGAAGAAGGGUGGUAAAGGCAGUAGCAGCCAUGGGAAAUCCUCAGAAAAAUAUAGUGGGCGUCAGGAAUCUGAUGCCGAGGCACCAUCUGGUACUUCCCAAAUGACAGUGUUAUCAAAGGUUCCAGAAGCGAAUAUUGCUUCUCAUGUUGGCUCAAACCUGGGUUCUGACGAUUAUGCAGUGUCACGUAAAUCCAUUAAAUCCAGAUUCUGGCAUUGACACUUUUGAACCACUUUUGGUUCCUCUUACACAUGAGAUUGGUGUAGUUGAUACAGUAUUGACUCAUAAUUCUGAGUUACCUUUGUCGAAGGUUGAGGCUGACGAGCAUGAUGUUGGUUCUUCAGAUACAAAUGGAGUGGAAGGUACUGGGACCUUAGAUUCUGAGGUGGAAGGUUUCAUAUCCUUGGAAAAUUCUGUUAUUCAUGAUUCCAAAGGGGAUCCUGUACUUUCUGGGUUAUUGGUAAAUGUUGAUUCGCCGCAUCCGACUGCUUCAGUUGAUAGCUCUGAGGGUGUGGCAGCCAGAGUGGAAAAGGAGAGUGGCAACACGGGAGGGCGGGAGUCAUUAUCUUUAAAGAAGGAUGAAACUCGUAUGAUAUUAAGUCAGGCUGGAGACCAGGGGCAAUGCAGGAAGCUGCUGGUUUGGGUUUCAGGCACAUUGAUAGAAGUGGUGGAUUAGAGCUUCAAGAAGAUGGGAGGCUCACAUUGUUAGAUUAUGAUGGAAGUGCUGAAACUAUUUCUGCUUCAGAAGGGAACAAUAUGGAAGGGACAAAUUAUGAAACAGAACAAAGCAGGAGGCUAGAGGUGAAAGACAACAUUUUGGCUGGUAGCCAUAAGGAAAUGAAAAUUACAAUAGCUAAUUUGCAGAAAGAGCUUCAGGAGAAGGACAUCCAAAAAGAGAAAAUUUGCAUGGAGCGGUCAAUCAAAUCAAGGAAGCUGAAGCUGCUGCAAGAGCUUAUUCGCUGGAUCUUCAAUCUUCGAAAGCUCAGGUUUGUGAUUUACAGGAAAGGGUGGUAGAAAUGCAGGAGGAACGAAACUCAUUGGAGCAGAGAGUGAAGGAGCUGCAAGAUGAGCAAGCUGCAUUGACAGAGUUGCAGGGCAGGGCCAAGUCACUUACUGACACUCUGGCUGCCAAAGACCAAGAAAUUGAGUGUCUUAUGCAAGCACUUGACGAGGAGGCCCAGAUGGAAGAUUUGACGAAAAAAGUGUUGGAACUGGAAAAAGUUUUGCAACAAAAGAAUGUGGUUGUAGAGAACCUCGAAGCUUCUCGUGGAAAGGUCAUGAAAAAGCUUUCUAUCACUGUUAGCAGGUUUGAUGAGCUUCAUCAUCUGUCAGAAAGCCUUCUUGCUGAAGUUGAAAGGCUUCAAUCACAAUUGCAUGAUCGUGAUGCUGAGAUCUCUUUCUUAAGGCAAGAGGUCAUUAGAUGCACCAAUGAUGUCCUUGUUGAGAUUUUAUUCUUACUAUUUUAGGAUCUGAUUUUAUUGGAUUUUGAUGCAGAUAAACAAGAGGUCAUUAGAUGCACCAAUGAUGUUCUUAUUGAGA